rnacentral:rRNA from 1 species
GAUGAACGCUAGCGGGAGGCUUAACACAUGCAAGUCGAGGGGCAUCACGAGGUAGCAAUACUUUGGUGGCGACCGGCGCACGGGUGAGUAACACGUAUGCAACCUACCCUGUACAGGGGGAUAACCCGGAGAAAUUCGGACUAAUAUUCCAUAAUGAUAUUUUAGGGCAUCCUUUAAUAUUUAAAGCUUUGGCGGUACAGGAUGGGCAUGCGCAACAUUAGCUAGUUGGGAGGGUAACGGCCUACCAAGGCUAUGAUGUUUAGGGGACCUGAGAGGGUGAUCCCCCACACUGGUACUGAGACACGGACCAGACUCCUACGGGAGGCAGCAGUGAGGAAUAUUGGUCAAUGGGCGGAAGCCUGAACCAGCCAUCCCGCGUGCAGGAAGACAGCCCUAUGGGUUGUAAACUGCUUUUCCAGUGGGCGAACCCCUCGUACGUGUACGGGAUUGACGGUACACUGGGAAUAAGCAUCGGCUAACUCCGUGCCAGCAGCCGCGGUAAACA